GCGGGAUUAGUUGAGCGGUUCAACACCACCCUUCCAAGGUGAAGAGAUGGGUUCGACUCCCAUAUCCCGCU
rnacentral:tRNA from 1 species